rnacentral:rRNA from 1 species
CACUCCUACGGGAGGCAGCAGUGGGGAAUAUUGCACAAUGGGCGCAAGCCUGAUGCAGCCAUGCCGCGUGUAUGAAGAAGGCCUUCGGGUUGUAAAGUACUUUCAGCGGGGAGGAAGGCGAUAAGGUUAAUAACCUUGUCGAUUGACGUUACCCGCAGAAGAAGCACCGGCUAACUCCGUGCCAGCAGCCGCGGUAAUACGGAGGGUGCAAGCGUUAAUCGGAAUUACUGGGCGUAAAGCGCACGCAGGCGGUCUGUCAAGUCGGAUGUAAAAUCCCCGGGCUCAACCUGGGAACUGCAUUCGAAACUGGCAGGCUAGAGUCUUGUAGAGGGGGGUAGAAUUCCAGGUGUAGCGGUGAAAUGCGUAGAGAUCUGGAGGAAUACCGGUGGCGAAGGCGGCCCCCUGGACAAAGACUGACGCUCAGGUGCGAAAGCGUGGGGAGCAAACAGGAUUAGAAACCCCUGUAGUCCCA